rnacentral:rRNA from 1 species
UGCCUGGCAAUUGUAGCGGAGUGGAACUACCUGAUCCCAUCCCGAACUCAGAAGUAAAAUGCUCCAGCGCCUAAAAUACUUAUUUCGAAAGGAAUUGGGAAGAUAGGUCAUUGCCAGGACU